rnacentral:rRNA from 1 species
CCUACGGGGGGCAGCAGUGAGGAAUAUUGGUCAAUGGGCGAGAGCCUGAACCAGCCAAGUCGCGUGAGGGAGUACUGCCCUAUGGGUUGUAAACCUCUUUUGUCGGGGAGCAAAAGCCGGACGUGUCCGGCUGUGAGAGUACCCGAAGAAAAAGCAUCGGCUAACUCCGUGCCAGCAGCCGCGGUAAUACGGAGGAUGCGAGCUUUAUCCGGAUUUAUUGGGGUUAAAGGGUGCGCAGGCGGAUUUUUAAGUCAGCGGUCAAAUCGUGGGGCUCAACCCCAUCCAGCCGUUGAAACUGGGGAUCUAGAGUGUGCGAGAGGUAUGCGGAAUGCGUGGUGUAGCGGUGAAAUGCAUAGAUAUCACGCAGAACCCCGAUUGCGAAGGCAGCAUACCGGUGCACAACUGACGCUCAGGCACGAAAGCGUGGGUAUCGAACAGGAUUAGAUACCCCAGUAGUC